UUCACAGUGUAAGUCAUUCUAGCAUUUCCCACAUUCAUAUUGAUUUGAUGUUGAGACAUAUAUAUUUAUCUAGAUCAUUAACAUCAAAUCAAUAUGAAUGUGGGAAAUGCUAGAAUGACUUACAUUGUGA
rnacentral:misc_RNA from 1 species